rnacentral:ncRNA from 1 species
UAAGGCAGGCUCAGGGAGGACAGAAAGCUCCUGUGGAGUGGAAGGGCAGAAGCUGGCUUGAUCUUGAUUUUCAGCGUGAAUAAAAGUCCUAACACUGC